AGUAAAUAGUGGGUAUAAAUAAGCGGAUAUUUUAUACACCCAACAAAAACUUACUAAAUACUCAAUUAACCUACAUCACACCACAUCCUAUCCUACCUGUUGACAUUACUGUGGAACAACUAUCCCCACACCAUGCCUUUAGUAGAUUUUUCUUCUUUGUUUGAGUUUGUUCCAUGCCUUGCAUGUUUAUUAAUGAUUACAUUCAGAUAUGAUGGAUUUAUUUUAUUUUUAAAUCUACAAACCAUGCCCCAAUUUAAAUACUACUACAACACAAAAUCUCUCUAUCUGUCUUUCAAUAUACACGGCCACACAACCCUUAACACUUCAUCCUCUUCCUCUCGAUACCCUCGACAGACGACCGGAGAUCGGGAACUUCUGACCGGCGACGUCUGUUCCGGUAACCACCACACCCACAGCCGAACCCCCCCUCUUCUCUUCGGUAAUCGCCGGCCACCACCAUUGGUGGCGGCACACUUCGGUGGCAGCAGAGCCCGACGACUCGAGGCAGUGGUGGUGAUUUUGUUGUUGAUGACGAUGGUGGGCCCGUGAGCGACAGAGGGAGAUCGAGAAACAGAGAGAGUGGCGGAGGUAGGCAGCGGCGUCGCCGCUACGGCGGCGGCGACGGUGGAUUCCGACAAAUUUCCGUAGUCGAUGAUGAUGAUGUUCAGUUAGAAAUGUUCAACUUCAGAUGGACUCGGUUCAGGUUUCAAGGUCGAGGUUUGGUAAAGCAUGUGUUCACUCGGUCCAGAUUCAGCUGUGGUAGUGGGGAUUAUUUAGGUUCGGUUCACACGGGUUCGGUCAAGACAAGUCAAACUGGUCAAUGGUUUGGUUCGGUCAGCAUAAGUCGGCGGUUCGGUUCGUGGUUCGGGUUGACUCGGUCACACCGAGUCAACUCGGUCAACUCAGCGAGUCAACCAAGUCAACUCAGUCAAUGUUUCGACACGAAGAUGGUUGCACGCUAGCGAGUUCACAUUCAUGGAAUGACACUACGGAAUUACGCUAGGCUAGCUUUGCACAGGAACAUCAAGGUUGCAUUUUCAAAACUAUGGAACGGUUGGAAUAGGAGAACCCAU